GAUCAUGGCUCAGGAUGAACGCUAGCUACAGGCCUAACACAUGCAAGUCGAGGGGAAACGGCAGCUUAGCUUGCUAAGCUGGACGUCGACCGGCGCACGGGUGAGUAACGCGUAUCCAACCUGCCCACCACUUGGGGAUAACCUUGCGAAAGUAAGACUAAUACCCGAUGAUAUCUCUAGACGACAUCUGAAAGGGAUUAAAGAUUUAUCGGUGAUGGAUGGGGAUGCGUCUGAUUAGCUUGUUGGCGGGGUAACGGCCCACCAAGGCGACGAUCAGUAGGGGUUCUGAGAGGAAGGUCCCCCACAUUGGAACUGAGACACGGUCCAAACUCCUACGGGAGGCAGCAGUGAGGAAUAUUGGUCAAUGGGCGAGAGCCUGAACCAGCCAAGUAGCGUGCAGGAAGACGGCCCUAUGGGUUGUAAACUGCUUUUAUAGGGGAAUAAAGUGAGCCACGUGUGGCUUUUUGCAUGUACCCUAUGAAUAAGGACCGGCUAAUUCCGUG
rnacentral:rRNA from 1 species